rnacentral:pre_miRNA from 1 species
AGGAGGAACAGCCCCAGUGGCGGGGCCAGCUCUGGAGCCCUGGAGUCAGCCCCCGCAGGAACUCCAGAGCUCUCUGUCUGCAGGGCCUGGAGGCUCCGGGGCGGG